UUUUUGUCCAUUAUAUACAUCUUUUUUUUUUUUGCAAUUAUUUUGGAUAUUUCAUUCAAUUUGUCAAUAUGACAAAUACCAAAACCUACAAUGGGUAUAUUACAAAAUCAACAUCAAAAGAUGAAGAACAAGGUCAAUUGGAAUUAUAUUCACCAAAAUAUGCCCUAAAAGUUGAUAAUAAUAACCAAAAAAAGCCAAAUGAAGAAGGAGGUCAAAUGGAAUUAUACUCACCAAAACAUGCAAUAAAAGUGAAUAAUUCAAAGGUUAAGAAUGAAGGAGUAAAUGAGAAGAUAAACCAAAAUCAAGAAAUUGAAGAAAAAGAAAAGAAAAAAGUUGUUGCUACUAAUGGUGGUCCACUAGCCACACCUUUGCCAGUCAGACUCACUUCUAGAAUUUAAUCGAGGUCGAUCAGAAAUAAUUUCUUUAUUUUUAUAUAAAAAUAAAAAUAAAUAACGUUUUAUGUAUAAAUUUUUUUGUUCUUUUUUAGACACCAAUCAUGAAAGUAUAAUAUCUUUGCUAAACUCACUUCUAGAAUGUAAUCGAGAGUCUAUAAGUAUUCUCUUUAUAAAAAUAGAAAUAAAAUUUAUGUAUAUUUUAUUAUUUUUCGAAAGGAAUAUAGAAUUGGAGUUUCAUUGGUGUUUUUA